UCAAAGAAUUCGACACGAAUACGAACCAAUCAGUGUGAGCGAGAAAAAGAGAAAGAUGCUUACCGACCAGAGAUCAUCCGGCGCGUCUUCAGACUGGUGGAAAGAGCACAUAAACUCGAAGAUAUUCAAGAUAAUCAGAGAUAAAGUUGAAGUGUGAGGUUGAAAGAUUGAAUUGAUGAUGAUGAUUGAAGAUGAAACAUGAAUGAGGCAGAGAGUAGAGAGGAACUUCAGUUGCAGAAGAUGAGAAAAGGUGAAGAUAUUUGGUGAGUCUCUUGUGAAAAUGAAUCGUGAAUCUUUGUUCUUGUGAUUCUUCUUAAAUGUUGAAGAAUGAUGAUGAAUGAAGGUGCAUAGAAGGCUCAU